CUGGCGGCGCGCUUACACAUGCAAGUCGAGCGAGAAAGUGGGGCAACCCAUGAGUACAGCGGCGUACGGGUGAGUAACACGUGGGUGAUCUACCUCUUAGUGGGGAAUAACCCUGGGAAACCGGGGCUAAUACCGCAUAAGCCUGCAAAGGGAAAGCAGCAAUGCGCUGAGAGAGGAGCCCGCGGCCGAUUAGCUAGUUGGUGAGGUAACGGCCCACCAAGGCGACGAUCGGUAGCCGGCCUGAGAGGGCACACGGUCACACUGGCACUGAAACACGGGCCAGACUCCUACGGGAGGCAGCAGUGGGGAAUCUUGCACAAUGGAGGCAACUCUGAUGCAGCGACGCCGCGUGAGCGAUGAAGCCCUUCGGGGUGUAAAGCUCUUUCGGCAGGGACGAUAAUGACGGUACCUGAAGAAGAAGCUGCGGCUAACUACGUGCCAGCAGCCGCGGUAAUACGUAGGCAGCGAGCGUUGUUCGGAAUUACUGGGCGUAAAGAGUGUGUANGCGGUGCUCUAAGUUCGGUGUGAAAUCUC
rnacentral:rRNA from 1 species